rnacentral:misc_RNA from 1 species
UAUCUGGAAAGCCAUGGCAUUCUGCAACAAGUAAAAAUGUUAUCAACUUUGUCUCGUAUCUAGAAAAAGAAAUGCUGAGACAAUGCUGCACAUCCUUAAGCCAUUGCCAGAUGAAAAUUCACUCAGUCAAUUUCUGAUUACUUGGACAUAUUUCUGAAUCAGCUAGUUUAGUUUAGCUUAUUCCUGAGACCAGCGUUAAUAGUAAAUUGAUGGGUGACAUGUAGAUAUGCUAUAUUCCAUUCUUGCAUGACAUUCACAAACAUGUAAUGAUUCUUGGAGUAUGCAGAACUUUUCUUCUAUUGCUCUUACCCAAGUAUACCAAUCCAGUAACAUUGAAUUAGUAGCCUAGAUCGAGUAAUGUAAGCAAUCAGAAGCUAAGAUAGCAGUAAAAACUAGCGAAGAAAAUCCCUGUUUAUCAAACAAGGGAUACCCACUUGGUGAAAGGAUUUCUUUAUUAUGGUGGAAAGCAAAAGUCAUAGAGGAUAUGCAUUCGGUGGACCUACAGGCUCCAAAGUGGCUGAGGCUACAUAUUGGUAUAGUAACCUUAUAUUAGUAUAGUAACCUAUCUGCAUUUUAUCAGAUAAGCAGGUGGGGCAGUACCAGCCAAAUAUCAAGAUAAGAGACAUUUCUUAAAAAAUUAAAACUAGUCACUAUCCAUCCACUAAAAAGCAACAUUAAUCAAUUGUCAAUAAUAAUAUAUUUUAGCCCCCACAAGUUCAAUCCUUCUCAGAUUUUUCCACUAUCACUCACCCCUCUCAUAAAAUUUAAUAUCCAGGUUAAAAAAACAGAACCAAAAUCAAAGCAAAACUCUACAUAAUCAUGAUAAGGUUUUAAUAAUGUUCCAUGGGACAGACUAAGAAAUUAAUAUUUAAAUAUCAUAAAAAAAGAGAAACUAGUGAAAAUUGGAAUGAAGAGCCAUUACCUGAAAGGUGACUGAUGCCAGCGG